GACGAACGCUGGCGGCGUGCUUAACACAUGCAAGUCGAACGGAAAGGCCCUGCUUUUCUGGGGUGCUCGAGUGGCGAACGGGUGAGUAACACGUGAGUAACCUGCCCUUGACUUUGGGAUAACUUCAGGAAACUGGGUCUAAUACCGGAUAGGAGCUCCUGCUGCAUGGUGUGGGUUGGAAAGUUUCGGCGGUUGGGGAUGGGCUCGCGGCUUAUCAGCUUGUUGGUGGGGUAGUGGCUUACCAAGGCGUUGACGGGUAGCCGGCCUGAGAGGGUGCCCGGCCACAUUGGGACUGAGGUACGGCCCAGACUCCUACGGGAGGCAACAGUGGGGAAUAUUGCACAAUGGGCGGAAGCCUGAUGCAGCAACGCCGCGUGGGGGAGGACGGCCUUCGGGUUGUAAACUCCUUUCGCUUGGGACGAAGCGCAAGUGACGGUACUGGGAGAAGAAGCACCGGCUAACUACGU
rnacentral:rRNA from 1 species